GACGAACUGUGCAAACGUUAUUCGGAAUCACUGGGCUUGAAGAGUGCGUAGGCGGUUUCGUAAGUAGGGUGUGAAAGCCCCCAGCUCAACUGGGGAACUGGCGUCCUAAACUGCGAGGCUGGAGUGAGGUAGGGGUGUGCGGAACUUCCGGUGGAGCGGUGAAAUGUGUUGAUAUCGGAAGGAACGCCGGUGGCGAAAGCGGCACACUGGACCUUGUCUGACGCUGAGGCACGAAAGCCAGGGGAGCAAACGGG
rnacentral:rRNA from 1 species